rnacentral:rRNA from 1 species
GACGAACGCUGGCGGCGUGCUUAACACAUGCAAGUCGAACGGAAAGGCCCUGCUUUUGUGGGGUGCUCGAGUGGCGAACGGGUGAGUAACACGUGAGUAACCUGCCCUUGACUUUGGGAUAACUUCAGGAAACUGGGGCUAAUACCGGAUAGGAGCUCCUGCUGCAUGGUGGGGGUUGGAAAGUUUCGGCGGUUGGGGAUGGACUCGCGGCUUAUCAGCUUGUUGGUGGGGUAGUGGCUUACCAAGGCUUUGACGGGUAGCCGGCCUGAGAGGGUGACCGGCCACAUUGGUACUGAGAGACGGCCCAGACUGCUACGGGAGGCAGCAGUGGGGAAUAUUGCACAAUGGGCGGAAGCGUGAUGCAGCAACGCCGCGUGCGGGAUGACGGCCUUCGGGUUGUAAACCGCUUUCGCCUGUGACGAAGCGUGAGUGACGGUAAUGGGUAAAGAAGCACCGGCUAACUACGUG